CAGCCGCCACGGUAAUACAGAGGGUGCAAGCGUUAAUCGGAUUUACUGGGCGUAAAGGGCGCGUAGGUGGUUAUGUAAGUGAGAUGUGAAAUCCCCGGGCUCAACCUGGGAACUGCAUCUUAUACUGCGUAGCUGGAGUGCAGUAGAGGGUAGUGGAAUUUCCGGUGUAGCGGUGAAAUGCGUAGAUAUCGGAAGGAACACCAGUGGCGAAGGCGGCUACCUGGACUGACACUGACACUGAGGCGCGAAAGCGUGGGGAGCAAACAGGAUUAGAUACCCCAGUAGUCCCUGUCUCUUAUAC
rnacentral:rRNA from 1 species